GUGUAUACUAUAUAGUGUAUAGAAUGGAUAGAUUGUGUGUGUGUAUACUAUAUAUUGUAUAGAAUGGAUAGAUUGUGUGUGUGUGUAUACUAUAUAUUGUAUAGAAUGGAUAGAUUGUGUGUGUGUGUAUACUAUAUAUUGUUUAGAAUGGAUAGAUUGUGUGUGUGUAUACUAUAUAGUGUAUAGAAUGGAUAGAUUGUGUAUGUG
rnacentral:lncRNA from 1 species